AGGAAGAAAUGCUCAAUACAAGGAAUGCUAAUCCUCGUUACCCCGGUUGGACUCCGGGCUUCUCUCG
rnacentral:tRNA from 1 species